CGGUGCCGGGAGCGGGUGAAAGAUGGCGGAGGGCGGCGGCGGCAGCGAGGCGGGCGAGGAGGGGCCGAGGGCGGCGGGGCCGCGGCCCCCGAGCGCGCGGGACUUGCAGUUGGCCUUGGCAGAAUUAUAUGAAGAUGAAGUGAAAUGCAAAGCUUCCAAAUCUGAUAGACCUCACGCUACAGCCUUUAAAAGCCCACGAACACCACCUCAAAGGUUCUAUUCAAGUGAACAUGAAUGCAGUGGAUUACAUAUAGUUCGACCUUCAACUGGGAAAAUUGUGAAUGAACUUUUCAAAGAGGCAAGGGAACAUGGGGCUGUCCCUCUGAAUGAAGCCACAAGAGCUUCGGGUGAUGACAAAUCUAAGUCUUUUACAGGUGGAGGGUACAGAUUGGGUAAUUCCUUUUGUAAGCGGUCUGAAUACAUCUAUGGAGAAACUCAGUUGCAAGAUGUUCAGAUUUUGCUUAAACUGUGGAGCAAUGGUUUCAGCUUAGACGAUGGAGAAUUGAGACCUUACAGUGACCCAACAAAUGCUCAGUUUCUGGAGUCCGUUAAGAGAGGAGAGAUUCCCCCGGAGCUUCAGCGCCUGGUUCACAGAGGCCACGUGAAUCUGGAUAUGGAGGAUCAUCAGGAUCAAGAAUACAUAAAACCUAGACUGAGGUUCAAGGCUUUUAGUGGAGAAGGACAGAAACUUGGAAGCCUCACACCUGAAAUAGUCAGUACACCUUCCUCCCCAGAAGAAGAGGAGAAGUCACUACUUAACGCAGUUGUUCUUAUUGAUGAUUCCGUGCCAACGACCAAAAUUCAGAUCAGGUUAGCAGACGGGAGCCGUUUGAUACAAAGAUUCAAUAGUACACACAGGAAGCAUGUGUGUGAUUCAUUUGCGAUAAAGAUACAUAUGUUGGAGAUCACUGCUUGGGUUCAGCGUUUAUUGAGGGCUCACUCAGAGCAGAAUCCUGUAUUUGGCGGGCAGCAUGUCACUUGCGGAAGGAGAAGGAGAAAAGUGAUCUAGAAGUGGUGGCCUCGACUCAUCCCAAGAAUGGAAGCACCUGUAUCUGUGAGCGGGUGGUCCGGGUGUUUCCCCAGGUAGAACUGGGGCGAAGAGGGCUGAAGAAUGUGCUCCUGAGAAGCCUGCAUGAGAUUAACCCCAUUACCCAAUCUUCCACGCAAGCAAAGAAGGCAGAAAUGACCUGGAGUUACAGAUUUCCAAAUAACCUUUAUAAACAGAAAAGGAUGAUCUCUGCAAACAUUCACCAGCUCUCACCAUGGUAAAUUCUAUUUUGAUCUUUGCCGUUCCCUCUUACAAAACUGUGCGUGCACGUUCACAACCCACAAGGCCACUAGCAGAGACGUGAGUAGCAGAAUCGUAAAUGAAAAUGGAGAGAAUUGGCAUAAAGGUGGAUGUCCUCAAUUCCUCAUCACGCCUCCACCACCAACUCUCACUGACCAACGUAACAUGCCUACAGAUGUUAUGACGGAAGUAAAGAUGGACAAAUGAUGCCAAAAACGGAAACCAACAAGCAAAUCCAGAGAAAAUAUAACGUGUUGCUUAUUCUCUUCCUUUUGGAUUGCUUUUCUGGGACUGUCUACUGUUUACAGGAAAGUACGUAGAAGAAUAAGUUAAAAGCUGCCACAGAGAAGUAAUCAGAGAAACCCAGAUGAUGAAACAUUUUACAGGACAGACCAGUGUCAUGAAAAAAAAGACUCUUCUAGAUUAAAGGAGAGGAGCUGGGUGGUGUACAGAGGCAGCAUGGCUUAGAGGAGAGAAAGUGACUAUAACCUGAAUUCUAGUCUUUAUUCCCCACUUACCAUCAGUGAGACCUUAGACGAGUCACUUCCCUCCUGCAAAAUGUUAUACAACAUAAUAAAUUUACGUUGCAUCUACCAUCUAUUGAUUUAAGGCUUCCUUGCUUUG